AAAUACUGACAUUAAAAGGAUAUAAAAUUCGCUGCAAUCAUAAACUUUUAGGGCGCAUAAUUGAAACAUAUUUAAACGUAUAUUUUUACUGAAAAGUUAAUACCAAACAAACCAUAGAGAAAUAAAGUGAGAGUGAUUCAAUCAGUCCUUUAUCUUUAAAUUGACUUCGGCAAAGAUAUCGAAAUCAAUCCCAUUGGUUUCAUUGACAGAGCCCAGGAAACGGAAACGGCUCAUCAAAUUUGAGUCAACUACAUAUUAUCGUUUUGUAUGGAGGGUAAAAUUCUCUAGCCGUGGCAGUGAAAGUGCAAGACCCGAACAUGGUGGGUUAGAAACCGAGAUCGAUAAUGAUGGAAAAGUCGGUCUGUUAACCGAAUCUGACAAGGCGGCUGGAACUGAUGGCUCACCGGCAAAACUAUACAAAGAUGGUGGUGAAGAGCUGAUAAGAAAACACGCGUCAGUGUUUUUGCAGAAUAUAGUCGGAUGCAAGUCCUAAGCGAAGUUCACCGCCCGCUCAGAGCUUCUGAGCAGGGCCGGAUACAAUAUGUUCCGCAAGGAUCCCGAGCAAGACCAUGCACAAUACCGUUCAGUAUCGUCUUAUCUAUGGCGCCUCGACCGCAAGGAUACUACCCUAGAAUGUCAGGGCACAGCUAUCCGGUCAGUUGGAUACAGCCCUGAUAUUGGUGCGCUACUUAGGGGCAAAAACAUUUGGGCGCAUUACGAUAUUUGGCAUUCUAGCCUGUCAAAUGACCGUGGAGCAAUGGAGCUGGCAGAACAGAUGGACGAUUUGACAUGCUGCCCAACGAACGAUAACACCUCUACCAGGGCUAUGGGUAAUUUCCAAAGCUCGCCCGAUAUAACAAUUGCGAGCGCUGGUCUGAUAAACACAGGUCUGGUGACCUGGAACUGAACCUCCACCUAGGCAUAUCAGAAAGGGAGAUCUCGAUUAAAAAACACUACCCAGCAACAUGUACAACAACCUUUGGGCAGGAUGGCGCACAGGCAGGCACUGAACGCCAUUCACCAGGAGUCAGUCAACACCUUCAAAGACUCGCUUUCAGUGAAUGGCGUGCUAGGAGCAAAACCACCAUACAUUACAGACAAUGAGCUCAAGCUGUGUCGAGAGACCCACGUGACUUUGGCACAACUUAGGUCUGGGUACUGUAACAGGAUAAACUCUAAAACAACAUCAUGGCAAGCAGUGUAGGUAUUUAGACACUAGCGUCGCUCUUGUGUAAGUUGGCUAAAACAACUCUUCCUUUGAAAUUUUAUAAAUAAAUAUAGUGUUUGAAUCAAACACCACGGACUCCCAGACACUCCAAACCCUUAUAAUUAGCGCAGUCCGUAUGGCAACCGAACAUUCUAGACAGGAAUUUAAAACCCAAAUAGACGAGCUUACAAAUAGGUAAACUUGAAUUGAGAUCCCAACUCAGGUGAUUCAAUAUGAACCAGUUACAAUUGAACCAAAUGUAUUUUUUAAGAUUAACUAGACCUAGUAAAGAACAUGCCGGAAUUCGAGGGUGAUCCUACCCGUUAUGUCUCCUGGAGGCAAGCGGCGCACACGGCGUAUAAAGUAUUCGAAGGAUAGCAUGGUAUUUAUAAGCACUGCCAGGCAGUAGGCAUCAUAAGAAACGAGGUGGUAGGUGCUUGGACAGUGUACUUUCGUCCUUCAACACAUUCUUGAAUUUUAAAGCAAUUAUUGCAAGGUUUCGCAUACACCUAUAAAAGGCCUAUCCAUCUAAUAGAGCAGAAGUUGUCGACCUUACGGCAGGGUAAACAAUCAGUGAUAGCGUUCUACGAUGAGGUCAAAAGAAAACUGACCCUCAUAAUAAACAAAACGAUUAUGGAUCACGGUGGAAAUGCAACCCUAAUACAGUCAAAUACCGAUACUGUGACAUAAUGUUUUCCUCCAGGCCUAAUAACCUUCCUUUCGAUUUAGCACAUGAGCUUGAAACAAAUCAAGCUAGGUCCAUGUUUGCCCAGUCCUUUAACAGGUACAAAAAAUAAACAACCUUACCCAGGAACAGGACGAGUCUGAGGGAGAAUACUGGAAUAACACCAGCUAAAAUAAUUACUACCAAAGCGACGUAAAAUAUUUUGUAAAAACGACUACUUAGUUUUGACGGUGGACAAGAAAAGCUCUUUUACCCUCUACUGCCCGGAUGUUAAUAAAUUAAUAGGUACGAACGUGAGUGAGUUGGACAUUCCCGCACUGUAGCAACGACACGCUAAAGUUUUCGCGGACCCCAGAGAAGUUCUACCCUAUAAUACCAAUAAUAGAGGAACAAUAAGAACCAUCAAUGACCGUCCAGUUUACUAGUGGACUUACCCAUACCCCAUAACUUCAGCCGCGUUUGUCAAUAAGGAGAUUUCAAAUCUUUUUCGUGACGGUACAAUAAGCUCAUUCGGUUUUUUUUAUAAUAAUCCAUCUUGGGUUGUAAGUAAAAAGGGAAUCGAAGACUCGUGAUAGACUAUAGGAACCCUAACAACAAAACAGUUAGUGACAAGUAUCCGAUACUUCCGUGAUGUUGGCUAACAUUGAAAAUGCCAGGUUUUUCUCAACAAUAGGUCCCAAGCCCGGCUUCAACCAAAUUAAGCUAGCUUAAAAGGAUCGAGAAAAAACGGCAUUCUCGGUCAAUAACUGCAAGUACGAGUUCUGUAGGCUCCCCCUUGGUUUAAGACAUGCGCCCAGUAUUUUUCAGAGGGCUAUUGAUGACGUUUUAAGAGAAUAAAGCGGUAAAUAUGCCACGUCUACGCAGAUGAUGUCAUAAUUUUUUCGGAAAAUGCUGAGGAACAUUUAUAGAACAUAGACCAGUUACUACCCAAAAUUUGUCUAAAGAGGGUAUCGCUAUUUCCAAACCCUUGUGACCCUUACAAUCAUUCUUAGGGUUAGCUGGUUAUUACAGACGAUUCGUAAAAUACUAUGCUGCGAUCACAAAACCCCUAACAAAAUACCUACGUGGAGAAAAUCGGAAUAUCGGUACUAACCAAUCGCGGAAAAUAGAAAUAACUUUAGACGAGGAAGCGACAAAGCGACUUUAAGCGUUUGGUAAAGUUAAUAAAAUGCUUGCAUCAGAAGACGUACUGCUCCUCACCUUGACUACGAACAACCUUUUGACCUGCCAACGGACGGCUCUUCACAUAUCACAUUUGUCACAAAACGGUAGACCCAUCACCAUGAUCUCGAAAACCCUGUCUCCGACAGAAGAAAUCUACGCGACCACCGAAAGAGAGCUCUUGGCGAUCGUAUGUGCCCUACAAAAACUGCGUAACUAUUUGUACGGCGCCAAACACUUAAACAUGUAUACUGAUCAACAGCCAAUCACCUUCGCUUUGUCUGAUAAAAACCCAAAUGCAAAGAUGAAAAGGUGGCGCGCUUUUUUUGAGGAGUACUCAAAAAAUUUCGCUACAAACCAGGUAAAGAAAACUUUGUGGCUGAUGCAACAUAUAAAUGCACGAGGUGGACACAGAAAGUAUGGCCACCAAGCGAGUCAUCACUUACUCAAGCAAUACCUACAGUAAAAAAUCUUAUUAAUUGUUUCCAAACUCAGAUAGUUCUUGAAGAGGGUGCCCAAUUGCCAGUUGGUACGUAAAUCCUUUUUAGGACACUAAAAAACAUGUUAUCGACGUUUUCAGAAGACAAAAAAGAAAUCCUCCAAAUCCAAUAUAAUCAUGCACAUAGAUCCUGUCGUGAAAAUGAACAGCAGGUCCUAGAAAAUUACUACAUUCCUGACUUAAGAAAAAUGUUAUUAGAAAUAGUUUCAAAUAGCAAAAUAUGUCAUGAAGCAAAAUACCAGCGGCAUGUGGCUAACCCCGAAAUGGGAUCAACUCCCAUACCGUCGAACCCAGGAGAAAUCCUUUACUCUGACAUUUAUUCAACAUCAAUAGAUACGUUAUCUAAAUUUGCAAUUGUUUAUUCUAAUAAAAUCUAGAGCCAUAGUAGAUAUUAGAGAACCAACACUAGGGUCACUGAAUUCUGAAACUAUUAAAGCAAUUCUAAAAAUCACUUUGGUGUCACGAUCUUCACCACGGCACCGGCUCACAGUACGACUAACAGCCAGGAGGAAAGGUUUCACAGUACACUUACGGAAAUCGUACGCUGCCAGAGACUCAAGACUUGCAUUUCCGACACGACCGAAAUAAUUCUGCUGGCAACGGCUAAGUACAGACGCACAAUUCAUUCCGUGACAAAAAGAAGACCAAUAGACAUCAUGCACGCAAUGUCGGACGAACUGAUUAACGAAAUAAAGAACAGACUUAUGUGUAUCCAACAAAAUGAUUUGAAAAGGCACAAUACAAAAAGACAAACAAGACAAUAUAAACCAGUGCAAAAAAGUUUUUGUAAAGACCAAUAAAGAAAUACGAGAGAUUGGCCGAUUUAACAACAUUGCGCCAUUUGUUUCUUCUUUUUGUUGUUUGGCGCCAAUUGGAAAUACCAAAUACAGCCAGGUCCUUCUCUACAUGGUCUUUCCAACGGAGUGGAGGUCUUCCUCUUCCUCUGCUUCUUUCGAAAACUACCCGCACCUUAUAGCAGGACGGGAACGAUGAGGGACUUGUAGAGUUUGGUGCUCGUUCGUC